rnacentral:rRNA from 1 species
ACGGGAGGCAGCAGUGGGGGAUAUUGCACAAUGGGGGAAACCCUGAUGCAGCGACGCCGCGUGAGUGAAGAAGUAUUUCGGUAUGUGAAGCUCUAUCAGCAGGGAAGAAAAUGACGGUACCUGACUAAGAAGCUCCGGCUAAAUACGUGCCAGCAGCCGCGGUAAUACGUAUGGAGCAAGCGUUAUCCGGAUUUACUGGGUGUAAAGGGAGCGUAGACGGCGAGGCAAGUCUGAUGUGAAAGCUAUGGGCUCAACCCAUAAACUGCAUUGGAAACUGUCUUGCUUGAGUGUCGGAGAGGUAAGCGGAAUUCCUAGUGUAGCGGUGAAAUGCGUAGAUAUUAGGAGGAACACCAGUGGCGAAGGCGGCUUACUGGACGAUAACUGACGUUGAGGCUCGAAAGCGUGGGGAGCAAACAGGAUUAGAUACCCUGGUA